rnacentral:tRNA from 1 species
UAUUAAAAAGUGUUUUGGCAUAUUAAAUUUUGAUUUUAAAGGAAAUUGUUUAUACAAUUAUUAAUAA